ensembl:snRNA U6 U6 spliceosomal RNA
GUGCUGGCUUCAGCUGCACAUAUACUAAAAUUGGAACGAUGCAGAAAGGAUUAGCAUGGCCCCUGCGCAAAGAUGACAUACAAAUUUGUGAAGACUUCCAUAUUUUA